rnacentral:rRNA from 1 species
UAAAUCGUUUAACGUGUAUCAAUUGGAGGGCAAGUCUGGUGCCAGCAGCCGCGGUAAUUCCAGCUCCAAUAGCGUAUAUUAAAGUUGCUGCAGUUAAAAAGCUCGUAGUUGGAUCUGGGGCUUGAGGUCGCUGUCUAUCGUUUCGGCGAUGACGGUGAUGCUCAGCUCUGCUUGCCGGUGACUGUUGCGGUGUUCUUCACUGAGCGCUGUAGCAGCACGGCACGUUUACUUUGAAAAAAUUAGAGUGCUCAAAGCGUGCUUGUCGCUUGAAUAAUGUUGCAUGGAAUAAUGGAAUAGGACCUCGGUUCUAUUUUGUCGGUUUUCGGAGCUUGAGGUAAUGAUUAAGAGGGACGAACGGGGGCAUUCGUAUUGCGGUGUUAGAGGUGAAAUUCUUGGAUCGCCGCAAGACGGACUACUGCGAAAGCAUUUGCCAAGAACGCUUUCAUUAAUUAAGAACGAAAGUCAGAGGUUCGAAGACGAUCAGACACCGUCCUAGUUCUGACCAUAAACGAUGCCGACAGCGAUCCGUAGUGGUUGCUUUAUGGACCCUACGGGCAGCCUCCGGGAAACCAAAGUAUUUGGGUUCCGGGGGAAGUAUGGUUGCAAAGCUGAAACUUAAAGGAAUUGACGGAAGGGCACACCAGGAGUGGAGCCUGCGGCUUAAUUUGACCCAACACGGGAAAACUCACCCGGUCCGGACACCGUAAGGAUUGACAGACUGAUAGCUCUUUCUUGAUUCGGUGGAUGGUGGUGCAUGGCCGUUCUUAGUUGGUGGAGUGAUUUGUCUGGUUAAUUCCGAUAACGAACGAGACUCUAGCCUGCUAAGUAGUGUUGCUAUUGUUAUAUGGUUGACACUUCUUAGAGGGACAAGUGGCAUUUAGCCACGCGAAAUUGAGCAAUAACAGGUCUGUGAUGCCCUUAGAUGUCCGGGGCCGCACGCGCGCUACACUGGAGAAGUCAGCGUGUGUUAUCCAAGUCCGAAAGGACUGGGUAAUCCGUUGAACCUUCUUCGUGCUUGGGACUGUGGCUUGGAACUAUUCCACAUGAACGAGGAAUUCCUAGUAAUUGCAAGUCAUAAGCUUGCGUUGAUUACGUCCCUGCCCUUUGUACACACCGCCCGUCGCUACUACCGAUUGAAUGGUUUAGCAAGGUCCUCGGAUCGUGGCCGUAGGGGCACGCAAGUGUUUCUGCGGUUUGCGAGAAGACGACCAAACUUGAUCAUUUAGA